GACGAACGCUGGCGGCGUGCCUAAUACAUGCAAGUCGAACGCUUCUUUUUCCACCGGAGCUUGCUCCACCGGAAAAAGAGGAGUGGCGAACGGGUGAGUAACACGUGGGUAACCUGCCCAUCAGAAGGGGAUAACACUUGGAAACAGGUGCUAAUACCGUAUAACAAUCAAAACCGCAUGGUUUUGAUUUGAAAGGCGCUUUAGGGUGUCGCUGAUGGAUGGACCCGCGGUGCAUUAGCUAGUUGGUGAGGUAACGGCUCACCAAGGCCACGAUGGAUAGCCGACCUGAGAGGGUGAUCGUCCACAUUGGGACUGAGACACGGCCCAAACUCCUACGGGAGGCAGCAGGAGGGAAUCUUCGGCAAUGGACAAAAGUCUGACCGACCACCGCCGCUUGAGUGAAGAAGGGUUUCGGAUCUUAAACCUCUGUUGUUAGAGAAGAACAAGGAUGAGAGUAACUGUUCAUCCCUUGACGGUAUCUAACCAGAAAGCCACGGCUAGCUACGUGCCAGCAGCCGCCGUAA
rnacentral:rRNA from 1 species